rnacentral:rRNA from 1 species
CCUACGGGAGGCAGCAGUGAGGAAUAUUGGUCAAUGGGCGCGAGCCUGAACCAGCCAAGUAGCGUGAAGGAUGACUGCCCUACGGGUUGUAAACUUCUUUUAUAAAGGAAUAAAGUGAGGCACGUGUGCCUUUUUGUAUGUAUUUUAUGAAUAAGGAUCGGCUAACUCCGUGCCCGCAGCCGCGGUAAUACGGAGGACCCGAGCGUUAUCCGGAUUUCUUGGGUUUAAAGGGAGCGUAGAUGGGUUGUUAAGUCAGUUGUGAAAGUUGUCGGCUCAACCGUAAAAUUGCAAUUGAUACUGGCAGCCUUGAGUACAGUUGAGGUAGGCGGAAUUCGUGGUGUAGCGGUGAAAUGCUUAGAGAUCACGAAGAACUCCGAUUGCGAAGGCAGCCUACUAAACUGCCACUGACAUUGAUGCUCGAAAGUGUGGGUAUCAAACAGGAUUAGAUACCCUUGUAGUC